AGGGGAGUGAAAAAGAACCUGAAACCGUGUACGUACAAGCAGUGGGAGCACGCUUAGGCGUGUGACUGCGUACCUUUUGUAUAAUGGGUCAGCGACUUAUAUUCUGUAGCAAGGUUAACCGAAUAGGGGAGCCGAAGGGAAACCGAGUCUUAACUGGGCGUUAAGUUGCAGGGUAUAGACCCGAAACCCGGUGAUCUAGCCAUGGGCAGGUUGAAGGUUGGGUAACACUAACUGGAGGACCGAACCGACUAAUGUUGAAAAAUUAGCGGAUGACUUGUGGCUGGGGGUGAAAGGCCAAUCAAACCGGGAGAUAGCUGGUUCUCCCCGAAAGCUAUUUAGGUAGCGCCUCGUGAAUUCAUCUCCGGGGGUAGAGCACUGUUUCGGCAAGGGGGUCAUCCCGACUUACCAACCCGAUGCAAACUGCGAAUACCGGAGAAUGUUAUCACGGGAGACACACGGCGGGUGCUAACGUCCGUCGUGAAGAGGGAAACAACCCAGACCGCCAGCUAAGGUCCCAAAGUCAUGGUUAAGUGGGAAACGAUGUGGGAAGGCCCAGACAGCCAGGAUGUUGGCUUAGAAGCAGCCAUCAUUUAAAGAAAGCGUAAUAGCUCACUGGUCGAGUCGGCCUGCGCGGAAGAUGUAACGGGGCUAAACCAUGCACCGAAGCUGCGGCAGCGACGCUGAUGCGUUGUUGGGUAGGGGAGCGUUCUGUAAGCCUGUGAAGGUGUGCUGUGAGGCAUGCUGGAGGUAUCAGAAGUGCGAAUGCUGACAUAAGUAACGAUAAAGCGGGUGAAAAGCCCGCUCGCCGGAAGACCAAGGGUUCCUGUCCAACGUUAAUCGGGGCAGGGUGAGUCGACCCCUAAGGCGAGGCCGAAAGGCGUAGUCGAUGGGAAACAGGUUAAUAUUCCUGUACUUGGUGUUACUGCGAAGGGGGGACGGAGAAGGCUAUGUUGGCCGGGCGACGGUUGUCCCGGUUUAAGCGUGUAGGCUGGUUUUCCAGGCAAAUCCGGAAAAUCAAGGCUGAGGCGUGAUGACGAGGCACUACGGUGCUGAAGCAACAAAUGCCCUGCUUCCAGGAAAAGCCUCUAAGCAUCAGGUAACAUCAAAUCGUACCCCAAACCGACACAGGUGGUCAGGUAGAGAAUACCAAGGCGCUUGAGAGAACUCGGGUGAAGGAACUAGGCAAAAUGGUGCCGUAACUUCGGGAGAAGGCACGCUGAUAUGUAGGUGAAGCGACUUGCUCGUGGAGCUGAAAUCAGUCGAAGAUACCAGCUGGCUGCAACUGUUUAUUAAAAACACAGCACUGUGCAAACACGAAAGUGGACGUAUACGGUGUGACGCCUGCCCGGUGCCGGAAGGUUAAUUGAUGGGGUCAGCGCAAGCGAAGCUCUUGAUCGAAGCCCCGGUAAACGGCGGCCGUAACUAUAACGGUCCUAAGGUAGCGAAAUUCCUUGUCGGGUAAGUUCCGACCUGCACGAAUGGCGUAAUGAUGGCCAGGCUGUCUCCACCCGAGACUCAGUGAAAUUGAACUCGCUGUGAAGAUGCAGUGUACCCGCGGCAAGACGGAAAGACCCCGUGAACCUUUACUAUAGCUUGACACUGAACAUUGAGCCUUGAUGUGUAGGAUAGGUGGGAGGCUUUGAAGUGUGGACGCCAGUCUGCAUGGAGCCGGCCUUGAAAUACCACCCUUUAAUGUUUGAUGUUCUAACGUUGACCCGUGAUCCGGGUUGCGGACAGUGUCUGGUGGGUAGUUUGACUGGGGCGGUCUCCUCCUAAAGAGUAACGGAGGAGCACGAAGGUUGGCUAAUCCUGGUCGGACAUCAGGAGGUUAGUGCAAUGGCAUAAGCCAGCUUGACUGCGAGCGUGACGGCGCGAGCAGGUGCGAAAGCAGGUCAUAGUGAUCCGGUGGUUCUGAAUGGAAGGGCCAUCGCUCAACGGAUAAAAGGUACUCCGGGGAUAACAGGCUGAUACCGCCCAAGAGUUCAUAUCGACGGCGGUGUUUGGCACCUCGAUGUCGGCUCAUCACAUCCUGGGGCUGAAGUAGGUCCCAAGGGUAUGGCUGUUCGCCAUUUAAAGUGGUACGCGAGCUGGGUUUAGAACGUCGUGAGACAGUUCGGUCCCUAUCUGCCGUGGGCGCUGGAGAACUGAGGGGGGCUGCUCCUAGUACGAGAGGACCGGAGUGGACGCAUCACUGGUGUUCGGGUUGUCAUGCCAAUGGCACUGCCCGGUAGCUAAAUGCGGAAGAGAUAAGUGCUGAAAGCAUCUAAGCACGAAACUUGCCCCGAGAUGAGUUCUCCCUGACUCCUUGAGAGUCCUGAAGGAACGUUGAAGACGACGACGUUGAUAGGCCGGGUGUGUAAGCGCAGCGAUGCGUUGAGCUAACCGGUACUAAUGAACCGUGAGG
rnacentral:rRNA from 1 species